CUAAUUUAAGGUUGGGCUAACGUUUAAAGGAAACGUCGGCCGGUGAUAGCCGGAGGAAGGUGGGGAUGACGUCAAGUCCUCAUGGCCCUUACAGGCUGGGCUACACACGUGCUACAAUGGCAUCUACAGUGGGCAGCUAUUCCGCAAGGAUGCGCUAAUCUCCAAAAGAUGUCUCAGUUCGGAUUGUCCUCUGCAACUCGAGGGCAUGAAGGCGGAAUCGCUAGUAAUCGCGGAUCAGCAUGCCGCGGUGAAUACGUUCCCAGGCCUU
rnacentral:rRNA from 1 species